GGUCCGUGCGAGCGCUAGUCCGCACCGCUCCGCUCCGCGAGACCUGGCCCGCGAACCGCCGCGAACACGCCCUCGGAGCCCGGGAGCCCAGCGCCGCGUGGCGUACCCCGCGGACCCAGUGCCGUAACCCGCUCAGUGCAUGUGCUCGUUAUCCGCAGCUCACUAAAUAGUAUACCGGGACCGGCGACCGUGGCGCGAUGUAAAGAAGCCGCGACCGUGAAUCCAUGUGCGCAGGGCGGUGAGUGGAGGCGCGCGCGGGCGAGAUGGCUGCGCCGGCCAGCUGAUAGCAUGCGGGCGGCGGCGCGCCGGCCCGCCCCGACCUAGCCGAUCGCACCACGGGCGCCACAUACACGGGCGCGCUGGAGGGCGGUCCACUGGGCGGCGGUGGCGGCGGCGGCGCGCUCGGCGCGCUGCGUGCGGCCGGCUCGCCGCCCGCGCCCAGCCUCGGCGCCAGUCGACACAGCCUCAUAGAAAUGAUGACGUGUCGGCUGGGCUUGCGGCGGCUGGGUGGUUCUCGUGGCUCGCUGCAGGCCGGCACGGCGUGCUCCGCCGCCAGCGAGCUCGACCUCUCCUCGCGCUCAAGACGCUCACACAAAGCCAG